GACGAACGCUGGCGGCGUGCUUAACACAUGCAAGUCGAACGAGAAUCUAUGGAAAGAGGAUUCGUCCAAUUGAAAUAGAGGACAGUGGCGGACGGGUGAGUAACGCGUGAGGAACCUGCCUUUCAGAGGGGGACAACAGUUGGAAACGACUGCUAAUACCGCAUAACGCGUAGAGGUCGCAUGGCCUUUACGCCAAAGAUUUAUCGCUGAAAGAUGGCCUCGCGUCUGAUUAGCUAGUUGGUGAGGUAACGGCCCACCAAGGCGACGAUCAGUAGCCGGACUGAGAGGUUGAACGGCCACAUUGGGACUGAGAUACGGCCCAGACUCCUACGGGAGGCAGCAGUGGGGAAUAUUGGGCAAUGGGCGCAAGCCUGACCCAGCAACGCCGCGUGAAGGAAGAAGGCUUUCGGGUGUAAACUUCUUUGUCAGGGACGAGCAGAAGACGGUACCUGACGAAUAAGCCACGGCUAACUACGUGCCAGCAGCCGCGG
rnacentral:rRNA from 1 species